GACAGUAUAUCAUGCUUGAUCUGAGAGUCGUUGUGUGAGAAAAAAAAAAAAAAAAAAAGGUUUUUUAACAGCCAAUAUGUAUCUUCUAAUAAUGCUGGACAGCUAGAGAAAAGGGCUUUCAAAAUAACAGAGUUUCUGCUUUAUUACCUUGUUAUUUCCGCCAGUCGCUCGAGCUUCUUCUAUCUCAGCUUUCCUUCUUCGAAUAACCGAAGGGUCAAUGAAACGAAGUGUCACAAUGAUGUUUGCAGUGUCAAAAGCCUGAGCAAAGCGAUUGUCUGGCAGACUAGGAGCUAGAGUUCCAAUUUCUACACCAAAUCCCACCUUGCAUAUAGAGUCCAAAGUCAUCCUCAUCAACAACUCCUAGAAAAGGAAAUGAAAUUUGAAUUCUUUAUUUAGACAAGGCACUAGUUUCCAGAGGGGCUUCUGAAAACUAUAUGUAACGAAUUUAAUAAAUUUAUAGGAAUUUAAAGAGGUUUUGAAGUGACCUGCAUGUCUACUUCUUGGUUGUGGAAAGAAGCUUGACUUAGGAUAUUGGACAGCUUCAGACUAUACUCUCUGAAGACUAGAGUGCUGAAAUCCCUUAAGUUCUUGGAUGCAAAUUCAAAGCUUGCAGUCUUCCUCUGUUUCCUCCAAUGCUCACCAUCUGCAUUGAAAAUCCCAUCUCCUAGCAGCACUUCCAUAUAUGAAUGAUACACUUCACCCUUCAGUCAGAAUUGUUCUCUCUCGUCAAAGACAUAAAACAUAGAAGACAGAGAGGACAUACGCAGGCUCAAACAUUAUAAAUCCCAACAUAUGCAUGCCACUUACACAAUUGUGAACGCAGAAGAUCAUAUCAAUAAUAAUAUGUGAAACUUUCAAGUGAAUAUUGCUAUCUUUUACCUUUGGAUAAUUUGCAAAGUUGGUUUUAAGGACAUGUUCCACAUUAGCAGGAUCGGCAAUGUAAGUGUAUGUAGUGAAUGGCAUCGGCACCACCACAGUUUUCGACUCAGAAAGGUAAUUGACAAGCCAGUCGUGCAUUCUGUCAUAGUUCAUGAACUGCUCGAUUGCUGCCCCCACAAGUGGCCAUGUUUUUGGACCUCUUUUCUUCCUUUGGCUCCAUACGUGGAUAAAGAUCCACGACAAAACCAUGCAAGCAAGCAUCAUUGAUAUUCCAAUGUUGCAUCCAUCUGAGGAAGAACGAUUCGUUUCUUCCCCCAUAUCUGAUGAAAAAUGAAGGUUAACAAAAGAAGAUCGGUGUUACAGGGAAAUUAAGCCUAGAUGGGGUUGUUUCUUAUAAGGAGUAUGAUAGAGAUCAUUGAAGUAGUGGUUAAAAUGUAGGUAAGUGGUGAGGCUUGUAAAUUAGCAAUAAAAUAGCCAUACUUCGUCAGCAAUCUUUGUAUGUAUGAGGAUGCUGUGAAUAAAAAAUUGUUUCACCUUC